rnacentral:misc_RNA from 1 species
CUUCCCAGGCCCACCACUUUCAUCGAGUGAGCAUUCGUCUUCUGGGUACGGGGCCAUAGCUCAGCUGGGAGAGCGCGUGCUUUGCAAGCAUGAGGUCGUCGGUUCGAUCCCGUCUGGCUCCACCAGAUGGUUUGAUCGCCGAGAUCUUGCACCGUCGUCCGCGAAACAUCGCUUCGCAUCCUGCUAGUCUGGAUAGACAGCAAGAUGCGUGUUUUCUGACAUCGUAAAGAGGAGAUCGAUCCGAGUUGGGUCGUGCAGCAGAUUGUUGCGCGAAUCCUUCAUUAUCUCCGGAUCAUUUUCGGCGCUCGCUUUCAGCCGUGAGGUUGAAUGCGAGUUGUAAAAUGAUCCUUUUAGCGAAGCUUGACCGCCUCGCUAUCGGAACGAUCUUACGAAGCAAGCUGGUCUUUCUAGUCAAUGUCCGGCUGCAGAUAGCGUUCGUCGAGGGCGCGUGCCGCAAGGCAAUUCUGCAGACAACAUUCUGCCGAGUGUGUGGACAUUGAUAAUGAGAGCAAUCAAGUGCCUUAAGGGUGUUCGGUGGAUGCCUUGGCGCUGAGAGGCGAUGAAGGACGUGCUACGCUGCGAUAAGCCGUGGGGAGCUGCGAAGAAGCUUUGAUCCGCGGAUUUCCGAAUGG